UACGGAGGAUGCAAGCGUUGUCCGGAUUUAUUGGGUUUAAAGGGUGCGUAGGUGGUUUUGUAAGUCAGUGGUAAAAUUAAGCAGCUCAACUGUUUGUGCGCCAUUGAUACUGCAAGACUUGAGGCUUGUGGGGGUAAGCGGAAUUGGUAGUGUAGCGGUGAAAUGCAUAGAUACUACCAGGAAUAUCGAUAGCGAAGGCAGCUUACUACGGAAGUUCUGACACUGAGGCACGAAAGUGCGGGGAUCAAACAGG
rnacentral:rRNA from 1 species